rnacentral:rRNA from 1 species
CCUACGGGUGGCAGCAGUGAGGAAUAUUGGUCAAUGGGCGCGAGCCUGAACCAGCCAAGUAGCGUGAAGGAUGACUGCCCUACGGGUUGUAAACUUCUUUUAUAAAGGAAUAAAGUGAGGCACGUGUGCCCUUUUGUAUGUACUUUAUGAAUAAGGAUCGGCUAACUCCGUUCCAGCAGCCGCGGUAAUACGGAGGAUCCGCGCGUUAUCCGGAUUUAUUGGGUUUAACGGGAGCGUAGAUGGGUUGGUAAGUCAGAUGUGAAAGUGUGGGGCUCAACCGGAAAAUUGCAAUUGAUACUGGCAGUCUUGAGUACAGUUGAGGUAGGCGGAAUUCGUGGUGUAGCGGUGAAAUGCUUAGAUAUCACGAAGAACGCCGAUUGCGAAGGCAGCUUACUAAACUGCCACUGACAUUGAUGCGCGAAAGUGUGGGUAGCAAACAGGAUUAGAUACCCGUGUAGUC